rnacentral:rRNA from 1 species
UACGUAGGGUGCGAGCGUUGUCCGGAUUUAUUGGGCGUAAAGAGCUCGUAGGCGGUUUGUCGCGUCGGCCGUGAAAUCUCCACGCUUAACGUGGAGCGUGCGGUCGAUACGGGCAGACUUGAGUUCGGUAGGGGAGACUGGAAUUCCUGGUGUAGCGGUGAAAUGCGCAGAUAUCAGGAGGAACACCGGUGGCGAAGGCGGGUCUCUGGGCCGAUACUGACGCUGAGGCGCGAAAGCGUGGGGAGCAAACAGG